rnacentral:rRNA from 1 species
UACAGAGGGGGCAAGCGUUGUUCGGAAUUACUGGGCGUAAAGGGCGCGUAGGCGGCCCGCUAAGUCGAACGUGAAAUCCCCCGGGCUCAACCCGGGAACUGCGUCCGAUACUGGUGGGCUUGAAUCCGGGAGAGGGAUGCGGAAUUCCAGGUGUAGCGGUGAAAUGCGUAGAUAUCUGGAGGAACACCGGUGGCGAAGGCGGCAUCCUGGACCGGUAUUGACGCUGAGGCGCGAAAGCCAGGGGAGCAAACGGG